UGGGGUAAUCGGAUAGCCGCUCCAUGUGAGAGGAAAGUCCGGGCUUCACAGGGCAGGAUGCUUCCUAACUGGAAGCCCCGCACUUUGUGUGCGGGAGGAAAGUGCCACAGAAAACAUACCGCCCAGCACCUUUGGUGGCACAUGAGAUUGAUAGAACGAUCGCUUGAAGGAAAUUUCUGCGUCCUUCAGAGACAAGAUGUUGGUGAUCUUGAUGCAAAGAUUACAGGCGAUCUCAAUGCUGCAGCCAUAGGCCAUGACCAGGCGCUUUGGUCAGACGGGUUGAAUUGAACACGGCAUCAAUGCAAAGCCUGUUGUGCCACCAAAGGUGCUGGGUAAGGGUGAAAUGGCGAGGUAAGAGCUCACCACUCUGAUGGUGACAUCAGAGGUACGGCAAACCCCAUCCGAAGCAAAACCAAGCAGUUCCAGUAGAGGUGGCCCGCCUCUUCCUGCCGUCAAAAGCGGCCAGGGCUGGAACGGGUAGGUUGCGCAGAAUCCGGCAGUGAUGCCGGAACAAGAGAAAUGGCUAUCAACUACAGAACCCGGCUUAUAGAUUACCCCACAUC
rnacentral:RNase_P_RNA from 1 species